rnacentral:rRNA from 1 species
CCUACGGGGGGCAGCAGUGAGGAAUAUUGGUCAAUGGGCGAGAGCCUGAACCAGCCAAGCCGCGUGAAGGAUGAAUGCCCCAAGCGUCGUAAACUUCUUUUGUAGGGGAACAAAGUGCGCCACGUGUGGCGUUGUGAAUGUACCCUAAGAACAAGGAUCGGCUAACUCCGUGCCAGCAGCCGCGGUAAUACGGAGGAUACGAGCGUUAUCCGGAUUUAUUUGGUUUAAAGGGUGCGUAGGCGGUGCGGUAAGUCAGCUGUGAAAGGACGGGGCUCAACCCCCGGAGUGCCGUUGAAACUGGCAGACUAGAGACGGAGAGAGGUACGCGGAAUGCGUGGUGUAGCGGUGAAAUGCAUAGAUAUCGCGAAGAACUCCGAUUGCGAAGGCAGCGUACUGGCGCCGGACUGACGCUGAGGCACGAAAGCGUGGGUAUCGAACAGGAUUAGAUACCCGGGUAGUC